UGGUCAGACUCCUCUAAAUGAAUCAGCUUGCCAGUGUUUGGUGGGCAUCACAGGUGUGAUAACUAUCUACGCUUGUGGUUUUCCCACCAGGUAACCUUCAGCAGUGGAGGUUCACUGGAGCUCACAGAUGUCUCUCCUCAGUGAGGACAGCCCUUUGAAUGUUUGAUCUCAAAUCAGGUAGGACUACCCGCUGAACUUAA
rnacentral:misc_RNA from 1 species